rnacentral:rRNA from 1 species
AGCAGCCGCGGUAAUUCCAGCUCCAAUAGCGUAUAUUAAAGUUGUUGCAGUUAAAAAGCUCGUAGUUGAAUUUCGAGACCGGUUUACUGGUCGUGCUUUUGUACGUACUGGUAUUAUUGGUUUCUCCUUUCUGACGAAUCAUAAUGCCAUUAAUUUGGUGUUUUGGGGAAUCAGGACUGUUACUUUGAAAAAAUUAGAGUGUUUAAAGCAGGCUCACGCUUGAAUACAUUAGCAUGGAAUAACGAAAUAGGACGUUUGAUUUUAUUUUGUUGGUUUCUAGGAUCGACGUAAUGAUUAAUAGGGAUAGUUGGGGGCAUUAGUAUUCAAUUGUCAGAGGUGAAAUUCUUGGAUUUAUUGAAGACUAACUACUGCGAAAGCAUUUGCCAAGGAUGUUUUCAUUAAUCAAGAACGAAAGUUAGGGGAUCGAAGACGAUCAGAUACCGUCGUAGUCUUAACCAUAAACUAUGCCGACUAGGGAUCGGAUGAUGUUAAUUUUUAAUGACUCAUUCGG